rnacentral:rRNA from 1 species
CUGCCUGAUGGAGGGGGAUAACUACUGGAAACGGUAGCUAAUACCGCAUAACGUCGCAAGACCAAAGAGGGGGACCUUCGGGCCUCUUGCCAUCAGAUGUGCCCAGAUGGGAUUAGCUAGUAGGUGGGGUAACGGCUCACCUAGGCGACGAUCCCUAGCUGGUCUGAGAGGAUGACCAGCCACACUGGAACUGAGACACGGUCCAGACUCCUACGGGAGGCAGCAGUGGGGAAUAUUGCACAAUGGGCGCAAGCCUGAUGCAGCCAUGCCGCGUGUAUGAAGAAGGCCUUCGGGUUGUAAAGUACUUUCAGCGGGGAGGAAGGGAGUAAAGUUAAUACCUUUGCUCAUUGACGUUACCCGCAGAAGAAGCACCGGCUAACUCCGUGCCAGCAGCCGCGGUAAUACGGAGGGUGCAAGCGUUAAUCGGAAUUACUGGGCGUAAAGCGCACGCAGGCGGUUUGUUAGGUCAGAUGUGAAAUCCCCGGGCUCAACCUGGGAACUGCAUCUGAUACUGGCAAGCUUGAGUCUCGUAGAGGGGGGUAGAAUUCCAGGUGUAGCG